AGGAAGAUCAUCUUGCACUGUUUUGCACCGAAUCGUUCAAUCGCCUCAAAAUCGCAGCAGCACAAGGCAUCAGGCCGAACGUUCAAUCGCCUCAAAAUCGCAGGUUGCUUUCAGAAAAUCGCAGGUUGCUUUCAGGUUGAUUCAACUGCUGCUGUUGUAGCUCCACCGGCCAAAAC